UGAAGACAAAACCUUGACAGUGACUGAUGAUGGAGGAACGGAAGUGGAUGCUGAUGUGUUUCCAGAGCUGGUUACCAAGGACAUGUGCUUAGUCAUCCAUGAUUCUGAUGAAGGUUCUUCAAGACUUCAGCCUUCUCCUUGGAUCUGAAACAUCUGCAAGACUUCUGGAAAGAUGGCCCUCAUUCCAACCCAAGCUGAUAAAAGAAGGAGCUGCACUUGUACAAACACCAUUGCUCCAACGCCUAUUGCAGUCUGCCAGGGAGGAGCAAGUGGAGCCGUCUGUAGACAACUUACAAGGUUGCUACAGUGAUAUGUCCACUUUACUCCUGCUGUUGCACAUCCUGUCACCUCAGCCAGCUGGGAGAAAGAGGAGUCACAAGAUCAGUGCAAGUCAAGCCAUAGACAACUUGGUCG